rnacentral:rRNA from 1 species
AGUGAACGCUGGCGGUAGGCCUAACACAUGCAAGUCGAACGGCAGCACAGUAAGAGCUUGCUCUUACGGGUGGCGAGUGGCGGACGGGUGAGGAAUACAUCGGAAUCUACCUUUUCGUGGGGGAUAACGUAGGGAAACUUACGCUAAUACCGCAUACGACCUACGGGUGAAAGCAGGGGAUCUUCGGACCUUGCGCGAUUGAAUGAGCCGAUGUCGGAUUAGCUAGUUGGCGGGGUAAGGCCCACCAAGGCGACGAUCCGUAGCUGGUCUGAGAGGAUGAUCAGCCACACUGGAACUGAGACACGGUCCAGACUCCUACGGGAGGCAGCAGUGGGGAAUAUUGGACAAUGGGCGCAAGCCUGAUCCAGCCAUACCGCGUGGGUGAAGAAGGCCUUCGGGUUGUAAAGCCCUUUUGUUGGGAAAGAAAAGCAGCAGGUUAAUACCCCGCUGUUCUGACGGUACCCAAAGAAUAAGCACCGGCUAACUUCGUG